UACGUAGGGGGCAAGCGUUGUCCGGAAUCAUUGGGCGUAAAGAGCGUGUAGGCGGCCCGAUAAGUCCGCUGUGAAAGUCCAGGGCUCAACCCUGGGAUGCCGGUGGAUACUGUCGGGCUCGAGUCCGGAAGAGGAGUGUGGAAUUCCGUGGUGUAGCGGUGAAAUGCGCAGAUAUCAGGAGGACACCAAUGGCGAAGGCAGCACUCUGGGACGUGACUGACGCUGAGACGCGAAAGCGUGGGGAGCGAACAGG
rnacentral:rRNA from 1 species